GGGGAAUAUUGGACAAUGGGCGCAAGCCUGAUCCAGCAAUGCCGCGUGAGUGAUGAAGGCCUUAGGGUCGUAGAGCUCUUUUACCCGGGAUGAUAAUGACAGUACCGGGAGAAUAAGCUCCGGCUAACUCCGUGCCAGCAGCCGCGGUAAUACGGAGGGAGCUAGCGUUGUUCGGAAUUACUGGGCGUAAAGCGCGCGUAGGCGGUUAUUCAAGUCAGAGGUGAAAGCCCGGGGCUCAACCCCGGAACUGCCUUUGAAACUAGAUGACUAGAAUCUUGGAGAGGUCAGUGGAAUUCCGAGUGUAGAGGUGAAAUUCGUAGAUAUUCGGAAGAACACCAGUGGCGAAGGCGACUGACUGGACAAGUAUUGACGCUGAGGUGCGAAAGCGUGGGGAGCAAAC
rnacentral:rRNA from 1 species